CCUGAAGAUUGUUAGAGCUUGGAGUUGAGGCCCCUGGCUGGCCGAUAAACUCACAAGUGUAGGCAGUGUGCUACUGGAGGGUACCACAGGGUCUCUGGCCCAGUGAGUGGAGUUUGAUAGUAAUUCUUGCUGUAAGU
rnacentral:snoRNA from 1 species